AUUCCUUAAUUUUGUGCCACCAUCCU
rnacentral:piRNA from 1 species